AAAGCCCUUCCCUGCUAGGUUACACCUUUGAUGAAUGGGUUGAUUCACUGGAAAGGUCUGGGCCUUCUGUGUUUUACAUUAAUUGGGGCAGACACUUCUAUCCCCACCCUAACAAAACACCCUUCUGGACACAAUGAACGCAAUGUAUAUACAGAUAAACAAAGAAAGCCCAACUCUGCGGUUGGUACUGGUAAUUCCACAGUGAAGGCAUCACUUCUUUGUGAGUUACAGAGAUAGAACCAAGAACAGCUUUCAAGUUAAAGAAGGAGUUAAAUCAAAACAUCUUAUGAGUCAGCCAACGACUCCAUUGCACAACACAUUAAAUUGCUCCUUCAUCUCAUUGUAUCUUUCUGCAAAGAUAUCAAAAUGUCAUUUGGACUCCAUAAGUGUAAAAUUCUUAAUGUGUGCAUAUGAAAGCAAGAAAACUGGAAUCUGGAGGUCAUACUGCAUCAAUGGAUAACAGCCAUACCUAUCAAUACUUUGGUGUCCUGUACAGCAGACACAGCAAGCAUAAAGAUAGCAAAAGCAAAGUCUAUGGCUGAAUAUAUUAGGAGACUUAGAGGCAUUAUGAAAUCAAAGCUGAAUAAAUAUACUCAAA